rnacentral:rRNA from 1 species
AUGGCAACGGCUCUGCAGGAGAUCCGGCAGGCUCAGCGUGCGGACGGCCACGCCGCCGUCCUCGCCAUCGGCACGGCCAACCCGGCGACCUCCAUGCUCCAGGAUGAGUACACCGACUACUACUUCCGUGUCACUAAGAGCGAGCACCUCACCCACCUCAAGCACAAGCUCAAGAGAAUUUUACGUACUCCAGGCAUCGAGAAGCGCUUCAUGCACGUCAGCGAGGAAAUCCUGGACGCCCAUCCGGACCUGAUCGAUCGCACGUUGCCGACCCUGGACGCCCGGAUAGACAUGGCCUCCGCGGCAGUCCCGAAACUCGCCGCGUCCGCCGCCUGGAAGGCCAUCGUCGAGUGGGGGCGACCGGCCACGGACAUCACCCACCUUGUCUUCAGCACCUACUCCGGCGGCAGAGCCCCGAGCGCCGACCUCCGGCUCGCGUCUCUCCUCGGCCUCCGCCCCACCGUCUGCCGCACCGUACUCAACCUCAACGGCUGCUCCGGCGGUGGGAGGGCACUGCAGAUCGCCAAGGAGCUCGCCGAGAACAACCGUGGAGCGCGCGUCCUUGUGGCAUGCUCCGAGCUCACCCUCAUCGCCUUCUACGGGCCCCAGGACGGCUGCCUCGACACCAUCGUUGGCCAGGGGCUGUUCGGUGACGGCGCCGGCGCCAUCGUCGUCGGCGCCGACCCCGUCGAAGACGAACGCCCGCUGUUCGAGAUGGCCUUCACGACGCAGACGACGAUACCGGAAACCGAGGACGCGAUCACCAUGCAGCUCAGAAAAGGCGGCCUCGACUUCCACAUAUCCAGCCAGGUGCCGAGGCUGCUUGCGGAGAACAUCGAGCGUGUUCUAAUCGACGCGUUCGAGCCUCUCGGCGUCGUCGCAAAUGGUGCUGCAUGGAACGACCUCUUCUGGGCGAUCCACCCCGGCGGCCGCUCCAUCCUGGACAACAUCGAGGAGCUGCUUGGGCUGGACGCGGAGAAGCUGGGGGCUAGCCGGCAGGUGCUGCGUGACUUCGGCAACAUGAGUGGCGCAACGGUGAUCUUCGUGCUCGAUGAGCUGCGGCGCCGUCGGGCCAAGGAAGGGGAGACGGCGGCAGAGUGGGGCGUGGUUAUGGCGUUCGGACCUGGGAUCACGAUCGAGACCAUGGUGCUGCACGCCGCAACAAACAAUCUCAAAGAAAAUUGA